rnacentral:rRNA from 1 species
AGAGUUUGAUCCUGGCUCAGAGCGAACGCUGGCGGCGUGCCUAACACAUGCAAGUCGAACGUGAACGGGGGCAACCCUUAGUAAAGUGGCGUACGGGUGAGUAACACGUAGGUAAUCUACCUUAGAGUUCGGAAUAACCGGCCGAAAGGCUGGCUAAUACUGGAUAGAGCGACGGAAACCGUAACGGUUUUUUCGGGAAAGGGAGCUCGAUAAGAGCCUUCGCUUUAAGAUGAGCCUGCGUCUGAUUAGCUAGUUGGUGAGGUAACGGCUCACCAAGGCGAUGAUCAGUAGCUGGUCUGAGAGGAUGAUCAGCCACACUGGAACUGAAACACGGUCCAGACUCCUACGGGAGGCAGCAGUGGGGAAUAUUGCUCAAUGGGCGAAAGCCUGAGGCAGCAACGCCGCGUGUGCGAUGAAGGCCUUCGGGUCGUAAAGCACUUUUCUGGGAGAUGAGAAAGGACAGUAUCCCAGGAAUAAGUCUCGGCUAACUACGUGCCAGCAGCCGCGGUAAUAC